GGGCACUUGGACUUACAUCACACACUAUUGAGGUUCUGGAUUAAUUCAAGCAUUCAUGCUUUUUCUUUCAUAUACAGUUUAUUGCAUAAUAAAUAAAGUCACCUUAAACCAAGUUUUAAUGCCUGGAAGCUUAAAGUGGGGGAAAGGUUGAAAUCUUUUACUUUGAAAGUAGCUUGGUUUUUUCUAACUUGCCUCAAAAAUUACAAAUCCUUCAGAAGUUGAGUACGUUAUGAUUCUUGAUGUAUGUAACUUAUGUUAUUGACGUUUCGGUUCAUGUCUCUGCAAAAAAAAAAAAAAAAAAAAAACUUUUCCUCAAAGAAGAAUUAAGGGACAUAUAGUUUGCCUCACGAAAUUUUUUUUUUUUACUUUUUGACAGUUAACAUAAAUGGACUAUUUUGUUUUCCUUAUAGUGUCUGUGUUUCACUGAUGGCAAGACUGUGGCCCCCAUGCCCCCAGCACAGGACCAUAAGCGAUUACUGGAGGGAGAUGGUGGCCCUAACACAGGGGGAAUGGGAGCCUAUUGUCCGGCCCCUCAGGUUUCUAAUGAUCUAUUACUAAAAAUUAAAGAUACUGUUCUUCAGAGGACAGUGGAUGGCAUGCAGCAAGAGGGUACUCCAUAUACAGGUAUUCUGUAUGCUGGAAUAAUGCUGACCAAGGAUGGCCCAA
rnacentral:sRNA from 1 species